UUUAAACUCACUUCCCGUUGUUUACGGGUCACUUCCUAUUUGUUUAUCGGGUAUGUACACGUCACUUCCUAUUGAUUUGGGGGCAUUUACGGGUCAUCGGUGUUCAUUAUGGGGCAUUAACGGGUCACUUCCUGUUGAUUUUACGGUCACUUCCUUUUCAUUUUAAGGCAUUUACAAGUACGUCACUCCCUGGUUAUUUUACGGUCACUUCCUGUUGAUUCAGGUGCAUUGACGCGUCAUCGGUGUUGAUUUUGGGGCAUUUACGUGUCACUUCUUGUUGAUUUUACAGUCACUUCCUGUUCAUUUUUGGGCAUUUACAAGUGACUUCCUAUUCAUUUUUUUGGCAUUUACGCGUUACUUCAUGUUGAUUUUGGGGCAUUAAUGGGUCACUUCCUGUUUAUUUUACGGUCACUUCCCGUUCAUUUUCAGGCAUGUGCCUGUCACUUUCUAUUGGUUUUUGGGUCACUUCCUGUUGAUUUUACGGUCACUUCCUGUUCACUUCCGAGCAUUUACAAGUCACUUCCUGUUGAUUUUUGGGCAUUUACGGGUCACUUCCUGUUGAUUUUUGGGUCACUUCCUGUUGAUUUCCGAGCAUUUACAAGUCACUUCCUGUUGAUUUUGGGGCAUUUACGGGUCACUUCUUGUUAAUUUUUGGGUCACUUCCUGUUGAUUUUACAGUCACUUCCCAUUUUUUUCCGGGGCAUAUACGUGUCACUUCCUAUUGAAAAUGGGGCAUUUACGGGUCACUUCCUGUUGAUUUUGGGUCUGUUAUGGGUCACUUCCUGUUGAUUUUACGUUCACUUCCUGUCCAUUUUCAGGCUUUUACAAGUCACUUCUUAUUUAUUUUCUGGGGCAUGUAUGCGUCACUUCCUGUUGAUAUUGGGACAUUUACAGGGUCACUUCCUCUUGAUCUUUGGGUCACUUCCUGUUCAUUUUACCGCCACUUCCUGUUCAUUCUUGGGCUUUUACAAGUCACUUCCUGUUUAUUGUUUUGGGAAUGUACGCGUCACUUCCUGUUGAUUUAACAGACACUUCCUGUUAAUUUCUGGGCAUUUGCAAAUCACUUCCUUUUGAUUUGUUGGAAUCAUAUAAGGGUCUGUUGAUUUUGGGUCUGUUAUGAGUCACUUCCUGUUGAUUUUGGGGCACUCACUGGUCACUUCCCGUUGAAUUAGGGGCAUUUAUGGCUAGCUUGUUGAUUUUGAGUCACUUUCUGUUGAUUUUGGACAUUUACGGGUCAUUUCCUAUUGAUCUUUGGGUCACUUCCUGUUCAUUUUACAGUCACUUCCUGUUCAUUCUUGGGCUUUUACAAGUCACUUCCUUUUUAUUGUUUUGGGGGAUGUACGCGUCACUUCCUGUUGAUUUUGGGGCAUUUACAGGGUCACUUCCUGUUGAUUUUACGAUCACUUCCUGUUUAUUUCUGGGCAUUUGCAAAUCACUUCCUGUUGAUUUGUUUAAAGCAUUUAUGGGUCACUUCCUGUUGAUUUUACAGUCACUUACUGUCCAUUUUCGGGCUUUUACGAGUCACUUCCUAUUUAUUUUUUGGGGCAUGUACGGGUCACUUCCUGUUGAUCUUUGGGUCACUUCCUGUUCAUUCUCGGGCUUUUACAAGUCACUUCCUUUUUAUUGUUUUGGGGGAUGUACGCGUCACUUCCUGUUGAUUUUGGGGCAUUUACAGGGUCACUUCGUGUUGAUCUUUGGGUCACUUCCUGUUUAUUUCAUGUUUAUUUCAUAUAUUUAAGCAAUUACGGGUCACUUCCCGUUGAAUUAGGGGCAUUUAUGGCUAGCUUGUUGAUUUUGAGUCACUUUCUGUUGAUUUUGGGGCAUUUACGGGUCAUUUCCUGUUGAUCUUUGGGUCACUUCCUGUUUAUUUCAUGUUUAUUUCAUAUAUUUAAGCAAUUACGGGUCACUUCCCGUUGAAUUAGGGGCAUUUAUGGCUAGCUUGUUGAUUUUGAGUCACUUUCUGUUGAUUUUGGGGCAUUUACGGGGUCACUUCCUGUUGAUCUUUGGGUCACUUCCUGUUUAUUUCAUAUAUUUAAGCAUUUACGGGUCACUUCCUGUUGAUUUUGGGGCAUUUACGGGUCAUUUCCUGUUAAUUAUGUGGAAUUUCAUGCCAUUUUCUGUUGAUCUUGUGGCACUUCUGGGUUAACUCUGGGGCAUUUAUGGGUAACUUGUUGAUUUUAUGUCACUUGGUUUUGUGCAGCGUGUUGAAAAAGUGGACCAAAACAAUUCCCAAUACUAUAGUACGUGGCGAGCUUUGCAUCCUUUUUUGGCUUACUUGAAAGGAGGGAGGCUUUUAUUGAACACUCGGCCCCUUUCACCUUCUUCUUCUUCUUCUUCUCCUCUCAUCACUCACUCUCUUCCUCUUUUGAUUUGCAUCGGCCUCCCGUGUUUGAAAGCGCCGACCCCCCCGGCCUCCCCUCCCUCGGGCUGUUUUUGCUACCUCGCCCCCCCCCCCCCACCCCCCAUCCUCGUUAUCUCUGCUGACUUGACAAAGGACAAGGUCGCUGAGGAGUUUCCAUUUGAUGUGUUUGUUCACCUAGGGGACGAGUUGGCUCAUGUUUACAAGGCUGUCACCAGUUGUCUAACUGUCGCCGAUUUAUCGGUCGUUGCGUGAAUCCACGUAUUUUGAUAGCCGAUCAAAUUCAUUUGCACCAGGAGGGGGAUUCAGUCCUCCCAGUCCGAAUAAAUUGGACGUACAGUGGUAUGAAAAAGUAUCUGAACCUUAUGGAAUUUCUUACGUUUCUGCAUAAAAUCACCAUCAAAUGUGAUCUGAUCUUUGUCAAAAUCACACAGAUGUAAAAACAGUGUCUGCUUCAACUGAAACCACCCAAACAUUUAUAGGUUUUUAUUAAAGAUAUCCCGAUCGAUCCGAUCACGUCAUUUUCAAAGUAUCGGAAUCGGCAAAAAAAUAUCGUACAUGCCUUUUUUUAAUAUAUAUAUAUUUUUUAAUUAAAUUGUUUCUAAUUGUGUUUAACGUUACAGACAAAAUGUCUUCCAUUCAUCCAGAGUCUUUAGUUUUGGCUUAAAGUAGGGCUAUCAAAUUUAUCGCGUAAACGGGGGUAAUUAAUUAUUUUUAAAUUAAUCAUGUUAAAUUAUUUAACGCAAUUAGGGCAUGCGCUGCACGACCCACUCACGCAUUGUCGCGUUCCAUCUAUUAAGGCGCCGUUUUACCUAUAUAUAGAGCUAACAGACAGCGUAAAAAGUGUAGAGAGAAUUUUGGCAGUCUUUGGAGCCUCUUUUUAAUUGGCCAAAGCCUUAAAAUCCCUCUCUCAACAAUUAGAAAUAUCGUGGGAAGCAAUGUGGGGAAGAACGGUAGUGGUUGAUCUUUUCCUUAACACCCUAUGUUACUUCCCAACGCAGAGAAGAUAUAUCAAUUGGUGCCACUACGCACAGUCAUGGUUGCACUUCCCAUCAUGCAUUUGGGCAGAACAGUUAAAUGGCUACAGUAUCAUUUACUGAAAGCUCAACAAAUACACUAGAUGGCAAUAUUUAGUCACAAUAUACAAAGUCACAUUUGUCCUUUAAGAAUUACAAGUCUUUCUAUCCGUGGAUCCCUCUCACAGAAACAAUGUUAAUAAUGUAAAUGCCAUCUUGAGGGUUUAUUGUCAUAAUAAACAAAUACAGUACUCAUGUACAGUAUGUUGAAUGUAUAUAUUCGUCCGAGUUUUAUUCGUUUUUUUCUUAAUGCUUUGCCAAAAUGGAUUGGAUUAGAAUUGAAUCGGGAGCACACAAAAAAAAAGCAAUCGGAUCGGGAAAUAUCGGGAUCGGCAGAUACUCAAACUAAAACGAUCGGGAUCGGAUCGGGAGCAAAAAAACAUGAUCGGAACAACCCUGGUUUUUAUAUUUUAACGAGGAUAGCAUGCAAACAAUGACAGAAGGGGGGAAAAAUAAGUAAGUGAACCCUCUGCUUAAGGAGACUUAGGGGCAGUUUAAAUGGCGACUCUGAGACACAAAGGCACAAUGACUGAGUAGAGGAAUGGCCUCGCGUGCAUAUGGUAUCAGCGAAGACAAAAAAUUCAGAAUCCUGCCUCCAAAGUGGAAGAAUUCCAUUGCGGGGGAUUGAGGGCUUGCUCCGAAUGCAUAUCAAAGGCUCCCACGGCGCCAGACCGCGCCGAUAACGUCAGCACUUGUACACGUCACAUUGGGCGUGCGCAGCGAUGCUACUAAACAUUAAAAACAGCAAAUAUGGCGGAAUGUCUGCUUUAACUUACUGUUUUAAUCAUAUUUUUAAAUCAAAUACGUUAAAUGUUUCAAUUUUUGUGCCUUUUUGAACAAAAGAGAAAUGCCAUUGCUUCGAGUGUGCGGGCAUAUUUUUUUCCGGGUUGGUGGGGUCAAAGUGCAUCAUUUGCUGUCGCCUUGUAAAUCUGCACUGCUCCCUAGGGCUUGGCAUGAAUACUACAUCGUUUUCAUGUGGAAUUGCGACAGCGUUCGAAUGGAGACGGGCCCAUAUAAAUGCAAAUUUGAAAUUUUUCAUAUUCUCGGAGAGUCACCUUGUAAACUUAAAGAGCAAUUGAAACCCGUUUUUACCAAACCAUUUUAGUCAGUUGUGUGCCCAAUCACUGAUGAGUGGUUUAAAGCUGCCCUGCCCACUAUAAACCACACACCUGGUCAGAAUUCAGAAUUGUCUUGUUGAGAAGCAUUGUCUGAUGUGGUAAUGGUGUUAUACUUGUACAGCAAUUUUCCACCUUUCGAGGCGCUCAAAGCGCUUUACACUACAUCGCCAUCCACCUACUGGUAUCUUGCUCAAGGAUACUUAGGUGAGUUCAUCAGGGCCGGGAAUCGAAGCCACAACCUCUGGGUUGGGGGACAACUACCGUAAUUUUCGGACUAUAAGCCGCUACUUUUCCCCUUCAUUUUGGUACCUGUGCGGCUUAUUUGUUGAUUUUGUCAUAAGACUGUCAUAAGAUCAUCAAAAUUAUGACAUGACACUAAUAUGGACAUUACUGAAUGCUUGUGUCCUUAAGUGUCAUUUGGCAAAUUAUGUCACUAACUCAAUUUUUGUCCAUCGUGGAUCUUUUGCAUCCAUUCAUAAGUGAGAUCAUUUGCCGGAUAACACUUAAUGACAUCUGUUAUAAGCAUUCAUGAAUGCUCAGGACCAGGGGUCGCGUUAACCGGAUAUUUUCCGUCGUUGACCGGUUUUUUAAAACGGUGACGGAAAAAACUGAAGUCCGUCCGUCAUUUUGACAGGUUGCAAUUCACACCCCAGACCACAGGGUGGCGAGUUAGCAUAUUAAUUAGCUAUUGUCGCUCUCAAUGCAUGACGUCGUUGGCUUUUCUGUCAGAGUAUUGUAGCGUCACCGGGGUCUGGCGGCGGCACCGUGAUUGACACAUCAACGCGAGGUUCUUAUUGGUGCACCCGGUGUGCCAGCACGUCAUCCAAUUGAUGGACAAGAUUGCCGCCUGUGUAUAGACCCCAAUCACAUGACGUCACAACUCCGCCCCCCUGACUGGAGCCGCCAUAUUGUGUGUCAGCUCGUCAUGUUUACACAUUACCGCUACGUACAUGCCUCCUAUUACGGCGUGUUUUUCUGCUCGUUAAUAUUAAUAAUCAAAAUGGUGAAGGGGUGUGUGGCGGUUGGUUGCUGCAACAGAGAAGAUAGACGGAGAGACUUGAAGUUCUACCGUAUUCUGAGAGACCCGAAGAUGAGAGCGAGAUGGACUGCUGUAAUUCGACAAGAAAUCUGGGCACCAAACGAUCACCACAGACUAUGUAGUAGUCAUUUUAUAUCUGGUAAGAUGCAUUUAAUAUAUAUUUAGAAGAUUUUGGGCUGACAACCACAAUUAAGAUCAUUGUGUGAUGUUGGUGAUUGGGGUCUAUAUAGUUGCCUCUUUUUCUUUGGGGGCGGAGUUGUUGUUGUUGGCGGUAAGCAGAGUAAAAAGAGGGAGAAAAAUACCACGACUUCCGUGUCAAAUUUUUCGCCGCCAAGCAAGCGUUACAAUAUUAAUUAAAAAUGAAUGAAAACUAAAUACUAUUGAAUAUGUCAUCAUUAUCAUUUUAAAAAUUUAAGUGACGGGUAAAAAUAGGCUAUGACCGGAUUUUUAUGACCCUGUCAGUCAAAAUGACAGACAACGAAAAUGUCUAGCGCAACCUCUGCUCAGGACAGACAUGUCACAAUUAUGAUUGUGUAAUGACAGUCUUACGGCACCACUGUCAAAUAAAGUGUUAGCAAAUACCAUAACUAGCAAUUGAUGAAACGAUUAGAACAGUAACUGAAGAAACAUUUAGCACAGAACAUGAUUUUUGAUUGUUAUUUACAUCUGUAGCGCGACAAUGCAUGCUAAGAGGCAUGUUGGAUGACAACAGUCAACAGCAGGUGGCAGCAGAGGUUGACUGUCUCCCCCAAGGGAGCAGUGAUGGCCAAAUUAAGCUUCUUGAAGCUAUAAAGCUUUGCACUAAUUAGUUCAAAGUUUAAUGAUGGUUCAUUUGGUCUUAUGAUGCCGCUGUCAAAUAAGGUUGUACCGGUUAAUAUCUUUUGGUGUAAAUAUCCCAUGAUACAGUGAGGACAGCCGCGGUGUAUAGUCAGGUGCGCCUUAUAGGGCGAAGAUUAGGGUAUUCUACCACUGAGCCACGCCAUUCCAAUGUGCAUCAUCGCUCGGUCAAAAGAACCGUCUGAAGACCUCAAGUCUUGUUGAUUUGUAUCAAGUUGGAAAAGGAUACAAAACCAUCUCUAAAAGUCUGGAUGUUCAUCGAACGACAGUCAGAGAAGUUGUCUACAAAUGGAGAGAGUUUGGCACUGAUGCUUCUCACCCAAGGAGUUGAUGCCGAGAGUUCGGCGCAGAAUACUCAGAGAGGUAAAAAAAGAACCCUGGAGUAUCUGCUAAAAACCUACACAAAUCCCUGGCACUGUUGCUUCUCUCCCAAGGAGUUGACGCCGAGAGUUCAGCGCAGAAUACUCAGGUAAAAAAUAAAUGGUUUCAGAGGAACAAAAUACACGUUGUGGAGUAGCCAAGUCAAAGUCCAGACUUGAACCCCAUUGAGAUGCUGUGGUAUGACCUAAAAAUGGCGAUUCAUCCCAGGAACCUGACUGAACUACAGCAGUUAUGUAGAGAAGAAUGGGCCUGAUCGAUGUGCCAGACUGAUCUGCAGCUACAGGAAGCGUCUGGUUGAAGUUAUAAGGGGUGGCCACAAAAUAUGAAAUGUGAUGGUUCGGACUUAUUUUUUCCCCCUUCUGUCAUGGUUUGCAUGCUAUCCUCAUUAAAAUAUGAAAAACUAUAAAUGUUUGGGUGGUUUUAGUGAAAGCAGUUUUUACAUCUGUGUGAUUUUGACAAAGAUCAGAUCACAUUUGAUGGUGAUUUUAUGCAGAAAUGUGAGAAAUUCCAAAAGGUUCAGAUACUUUUUCAUACCACUGCAUUGCGCCGUCAAAUAUGAAAGAUGAAAGCUCGCAGCCAGUUCGCCGAGUUGAAGUGAAUUGAAUGUCUAUUGGCGUCAAUGGCAGGCGAUGAGUCACUUCCUUGUUCAUUUUACAGUACAGGGUCACUUCCUGUUGAUUUUGGGGCAUUCCUUUAUCACUUCUGUUAGAUUUUGGGUCAUUCCAUGUAAUUUGGCGGUCAAUUCCUUUUCAUUUUGGUUCAUUUACGUCUCACUUCCAAUUGAUUUUAGGGCAUUUACAGGUCAGCUGUUGAUUUUGUGGCAUUCCGUGGUCACUUCCUGUUGAUUUUGGGUCACUUCCUGAACAUUUUGAAGGAACUCCUAUUGAUUUUGGGGCAUUCCGUGGUCACUUCCUGAUGAUUUUGAGUCACUUCCUGUAUCUUUUGGGUCCAUCAGAGGUCGUUUUCACGAUUUUCUAUUAAUUUCGGGGCAUUUUUUGGCUCACUUCCGGUUGAUUUUGGGUCAUUUAUUGUACGUUGUCAUCAUUUCCUAAUCCAUUUUGAGGCAGUUCCGGGUCACUUGUGUUCGUUUUUGAGUCACUUCGUUUUAUGGUCACUUCCUAUUGAUUUUGGGUCACUUCCUAUUUGUUUUGGGGCACCCCGUGGUCACAUUUUGGAUCAAUUCCUGUUGAUUUGAUGGUAUUUCUGGGUCACUUCCAUAAGCGGAUUUUAAGGGGGGGGGGCGAAAAGUGUCAUUGCAUUAAUGAGUUAUAAGCAAAAAAAACUGCAACAAAAAUGAAUGAAAUGAACAAAAAAUAUAGUUUUAUAAUGGGUCAAAAUUAUUUUUCGAACAGGUCAUGUGACUAGCAACUUAGACGGGGAAAAAAAAAAUAUAGUUUUAUAAUGGAUCAAAAUUAUUUUUCGAACAGGUCAUGUGACUAGCAAUUUAGACGUAAAAAAAAAUAAAUAUAUAUAUAUAUAUAUAUAUAUAGUUUUAUAAUGGGUCAAAAAAAAUUUUUGAACAGGUCAUGUGACUAGCAACUUAGAAGGGGGGGGGGGGGAAAUCUUUUUUUUUUUUCCUUUGAUUGAAAAUAUAUAUAUAUUUUUUUUUAUUUAAGCAACUUUUUUUGGGAUUAAAUGAUUUAGACACAAAUGUCCUACCCAUAAUAUGGCCCAAACACAAAAAGGAUUACUUCAAUCAAAGAAAACUUUUUCGAUGAAAAAUUAAGUGUUCAAAGGCAAAUUUUUCAAUCGCAAAUAUUUUUUCGCAUUCAAAAACUUUUACCAUCAUUGAAUUUUUUCUUUUUGUCACUGAAGUGAUUUUUCUUUUUGAAAAUAUAUAUAUUUUUUGAAGCAACUUAUUUUUUGAUUGAAUAAUGACAAAAAAUGUCCUAGCAAAAAUGUGGCCCAAACACAAAUCAACAUUACUUCAAUUAAUCAAAAAAAAAAAAAAAUUUUAA